UACCCCGUGGUGUAACGGUAACACUGGAGACUUUGACUCUCUCAUUCCUGGUUCGAAUCCAGGCGGGGUAG
rnacentral:tRNA from 1 species